CCUACGGGUGGCAGCAGUGAGGAAUAUUGGUCAAUGGACGAGAGUCUGAACCAGCCAAGUAGCGUGAAGGAUGACUGCCCUAUGGGUUGUAAACUUCUUUUAUAAAGGAAUAAAACGAGGCACGUGUGCCUGUUUGCAUGUACUUUAAGAAUAAGGAUCGGCUAACUCCGUGCCAGCAGCCGCGGUAAUACGGAGGAUCCGAGCGUUAUCCGGAUUUAUUGGGUUUAAAGGGAGCGUAGAUGGGUUGUUAAGUCAGUUGUGAAAGUUUGCGGCUCAACCGUAAAAUUGCAAUUGAUACUGGCAGUCUUGAGUACAGUUGAGGUAGGCGGAAUUCGUGGUGUAGCGGUGAAAUGCUUAGAUAUCACGAAGAACCCCGAUUGCGAAGGCAGCUUACUAAACUGUGACUGACAUUGAUGCUCGAAAGUGUGGGUAUCAAACAGGAUUAGAUACCCUUGUAGUC
rnacentral:rRNA from 1 species